UGGGGAAUCUUGGACAAUGGGCGAAAGCCUGAUCCAGCCAUGCCGCGUGUGUGAAGAAGGUCUUCGGAUUGUAAAGCACUUUAAGUUGGGAGGAAGGGCAGUAAGCGAAUACCUUGCUGUUUUGACGUUACCGACAGAAUAAGCACCGGCUAACUCUGUACCAGCAGCCGCGGUAAUACAGAGGGUGCAAGCGUUAAUCGGAAUUACUGGGCGUAAAGCGCGCGUAGGUGGUUCGUUAAGUUGAAUGUGAAAGCCCCGGGCUCAACCUGGAAACUGCAUCCAAAACUGGCGAGCUAGAGUAGGGCAGAGGGUGGUGGAAUUUCCUGUGUAGCGGUGAAAUGCGUAGAUAUAGGAAGGAACACCAGUGGCGAAGGCGACCACCUAGGCACAUACUGACACUGAGGUGCGAAAGCGUGGGGAGCAAACAGG
rnacentral:rRNA from 1 species